GAUGAAGAACGCAGCGAAAUGCGAUAAGUAAUGUGAAUUGCAGAAUUCAGUGAAUCAUCGAAUCUUUGAACGCACAUUGCGCCCCUUGGUAUUCCGAGGGGCAUGCCUGUUCGAGCGUCAUUUAAACCAAUCUAGCUUGCUAGGUCUUGGGCUUUCGCCUCUGGGCGGGCCUCAAAAUCAGUGGCGGUGCUGCCGGGCUUUAAGCGUAGUAAUCUUUCUCGCUAUAGGGUCGUGGUAGAGGCUUGCCAACAACUAUAAAUCUUUCAAAGGUUGACCUCGGAUCAGGUAGGGAUACCCGCUGAACUUAAGCAUAUCAAUAAGCGGAGGA
rnacentral:misc_RNA from 1 species